GAUGAACGCUAGCUACAGGCUUAACACAUGCAAGUCGAGGGGAAACGAUAUUGGAAGCUUGCUUCCGAUAGGCGUCGACCGGCGCACGGGUGAGUAACGCGUAUCCAACCUGCCCACCACUUGGGGAUAACCUUGCGAAAGUAAGACUAAUACCCAAUGACGUCCAUAGAAGACAUCUGAAAUGGAUUAAAGAUUUAUCGGUGAUGGAUGGGGAUGCGUCUGAUUAGCUUGUUGGCGGGGUAACGGCCCACCAAGGCGACGAUCAGUAGGGGUUCUGAGAGGAAGGUCCCCACCAUUGGAACUGAGACACGGUCCAAACUACUACGGGAGGCAGCAGUGAGGAAUAUUGGUCAAUGGGCGAGAGCCUGAACCAGCCAAGUAGCGUGCAGGAUGACGGCCCUAUGGGUUGUAAACUGCUUUUAUAAGGGAAUAAAGUGAGUCUCGUGAGGCUUUUUGCAUGUACCUUAUGAAUAAGGACCGGCUAAUUCCGUGCCAGCCGCCGCCGUAA
rnacentral:rRNA from 1 species